AAGUUGCUUCGAAUGCAGACUGCGAAGAACCCGGAAAGCCAUGGAACUGAUUGUGCCUUCAUAAUUUGGCGCAAAGAAAAUCAGCUAAUAAGCACCAACCAUCACAUGGCUUUGUCUUUCAAGUCGACAGAAGAAUUGUGGCUUAGCGUUUUUGACGAACAUUUUGCAAGACAAGAACCAACUCAUGCGGCCCUGACUGUAUUUUGUCCACAGAAAAAUCGUCGAGUUUUUCAGUCACGUGGAAGAGUGAUAAAUAGUGAAUAAGGCUUGUCGCCAUGUUGGUAUGCGGCUUCAGGCCCCCACAUAAAAAUACAAUAUCCAAGUCAAUGUCAUGGACAAGAGCAUAUGGUUAUGGUGGCAUGUCAUCUUUUCAUUACAAACAUUGAGAAGACAAACCCUUGUGAAGUAGAUAUGAAGCUGUCCAGAGA